rnacentral:rRNA from 1 species
UGGCUCAGAUUGAACGCUGGCGGCAGGCCUAACACAUGCAAGUCGAGCGGAUGACGAGAGCUUGCUCUCUGAUUCAGCGGCGGACGGGUGAGUAAUGCCUAGGAAUCUGCCUGGUAGUGGGGGACAACGUCUCGAAAGGGACGCUAAUACCGCAUACGUCCUACGGGAGAAAGCAGGGGACCUUCGGGCCUUGCGCUAUCAGAUGAGCCUAGGUCGGAUUAGCUAGUUGGUGAGGUAAUGGCUCACCAAGGCGACGAUCCGUAACUGGUCUGAGAGGAUGAUCAGUCACACUGGAACUGAGACACGGUCCAGACUCCUACGGGAGGCAGCAGUGGGGAAUAUUGGACAAUGGGCGAAAGCCUGAUCCAGCCAUGCCGCGUGUGUGAAGAAGGUCUUCGGAUUGUAAAGCACUUUAAGUUGGGAGGAAGGGUUGUAGAUUAAUACUCUGCAAUUUUGACGUUACCGACAGAAUAAGCACCGGCUAACUCUGUGCCAGCAGCCGCGGUAAUACAGAGGGUGCAAGCGUUAAUCGGAAUUACUGGGCGUAAAGCGCGCGUAGGUGGUUUGUUAAGUUGGAUGUGAAAGCCCCGGGCUCAACCUGGGAACUGCAUUCAAAACUGACAAGCUAGAGUAUGGUAGAGGGUGGUGGAAUUUCCUGUGUAGCGGUGAAAUGCGUAGAUAUAGGAAGGAACACCAGUGGCGAAGGCGACCACCUGGACUGAUACUGACACU